AGAGUUUGAUCCUGGCUCAGAACGAACGCUGGCGGCAGGCCUAACACAUGCAAGUCGAGCGCACUCUUCGGAGUGAGCGGCGGACGGGUUAGUAACGCGUGGGAACAUACCUUUCGGUAAGGAAUAGCCACUGGAAACGGUGAGUAAUACCUUAUACGCCCUUCGGGGGAAAGAUUUAUCGCCGAGAGAUUGGCCCGCGUUAGAUUAGAUAGUUGGUGGGGUAACGGCCUACCAAGUCUACGAUCUAUAGCUGGUUUUAGAGGAUGAUCAGCAACACUGGGACUGAGACACGGCCCAGACUCCUACGGGAGGCAGCAGUGGGGAAUCUUGGACAAUGGGCGCAAGCCUGAUCCAGCCAUGCCGCGUGAGUGAUGAAGGCCUUAGGGUCGUAAAGCUCUUUCGCCAGAGAUGAUAAUGACAGUAUCUGGUAAAGAAACCCCGGCUAACUCCGUGCCAGCAGCCGCGGUAAUACGGAGGGGGUUAGCGUUGUUCGGAAUUACUGGGCGUAAAGCGUACGUAGGCGGACCAUUAAGUUGGGGGUGAAAUCCCGGGGCUCAACCCCGGAACUGCCUCCAAAACUGCUAGUCUUGAGUUCGAGAGAGGUGAGUGGAAUUCCGAGUGUAGAGGUGAAAUUCGUAGAUAUUCGGAGGAACACCAGUGGCGAAGGCGGCUCACUGGCUCGAUACUGACGCUGAGGUACGAAAGUGUGGGGAGCAAACAGGAUUAGAUACCCUGGUAGUCCACACCGUAAACGAUGAAUGCCAGUCGUCGGGUAGCAUGCUAUUCGGUGACACACCUAACGGAUUAAGCAUUCCGCCUGGGGAGUACGGUCGCAAGACUAAAACUCAAAGGAAUUGACGGGGGC
rnacentral:rRNA from 1 species